GGGGUUGUAGCUCAGUGGCAGAGCGCUCCACUGGCACUUGUGAGGCACUGAGUUUGAUUCUCAGCAUCACAU
rnacentral:tRNA from 1 species